UCCGGUUUAACACCGGCAGUCUCGUUAAAGUGCCCGGCAUGACCCGCUGGCAACUAACGACAAGGGUUUCGCUCGUUAUGGGACUUAACCCGACAUCUCACGACACGAGCUGACGACAGCCAUGCAGCACCUGUGUACGUUCCACGGCAAGCCGCGUCAUUCCACUUUCAUGGAACUAAUCCGUACAUGUCAAGCCCAGGUAAGGUUCUUCGCGUUGCUUCGAAUUGAGCCACAUGCUCCACCGCUUGUGUGAGCCCCCGUCAAUUCCUUUGAGUUUUAGCCUUGCGGCCGUACUCCCCAGGCGGCGCACUUAACACUUUUGCUUCGACCCGACCCACGUCAGAGUGCGUCGAAUCUAGUGCGCAUCGUUUAGGGCGUGGACUAC
rnacentral:misc_RNA from 1 species